AUGGAGGAAAACAGUUCUGUCAGUGAGCACAUACUCAAAAUGUCUGGGUUGCACAACCGCCUGUCCCAGCUGGACAUUAACCUCCCAGACGAGGCGGUCAUUGACAGAAUCCUUCAGUCGCUCCCACCGAGCUACAAGAGCUUUAUGAUGAACUACAAUAUGCAGGGGAUGGUGAAAACUAUUCCUGAAGUAUUUUCAAUACUGAAGUCAGCAGAGGUAGAAAUCAAGAAAGAACAUCAAGUGUUGAUGGUCAAUAAAACCACCAAGUUCAAGAAGGGCAAGGGUAAGAAGAACUUCAAGAAGGACGGCAAAGAUGUUGCCGCACCCGGUAAGCCAGUUGCCGGGAAGAAGUCAAGGAAUGGACCCAAGCCUGAGACUGAGUGCUUUUAUUGCAAAGGGAAGGGUCACUGGAAGUGGAACUGA
rnacentral:rRNA from 1 species